rnacentral:rRNA from 1 species
UACGGAGGGUGCGAGCGUUGUCCGGAAUCACUGGGCGUAAAGGGCGCGUAGGCGGCAUGCCAAGCGUGUGGUGAAAGCCCGGGGCUCAACCCCGGGUCGGCCGUGCGGACUGGCGUGCUCGAGCACUGUAGGGGCGGGUGGAAUUCCGGGUGUAGCGGUGGAAUGCGUAGAGAUCCGGAAGAACACCGGUGGCGAAGGCGGCAUCCUGGACCGAUAUUGACGCUGAGGCGCGAAAGCCAGGGGAGCAAACGGG